UCUCCUCUCCAAACAUGUGCCCGUUCCCAUCUGUCCUCUCCCUCUCGACCCGCGGCGAGGCUCCGGCGUCGCGCCCUGUCCUCCCCGUGUCCGGAGAUGGCCCGGCUGGGUGCCGCUCAUACGGAGGCUCCUUCGUCCAGGGCCUCCGCCGGCUCAAGAUUUGGCGGCCCUCUGCUCCUCAACGCCCCACAUCGAGCGCCCAAUCCAGGAAAAUAGCCCCGUUGCGCUGCGCUCCUCAUACCCCUGCGUCGUCACAAGAUGGUCCGGCUGGGCGCCGCUAUGACGGACGAGCGUUUGAUGUCCAUGGAAGCCAGCUCCACCACCCAGGCCCUCCUCUGCAAGGCCGGCGAGGACACUGCUUUCUCCAAGCAGAUCGCGCAGGCAUCCAAGAUUCCAUACCGUGUAUAACGGCUUUGACAUUAAUUUAGAGUACACUUUGCCCUUCUCAAGCAAUUUCAAGGUUAAUUGUGAUACAUGUGGCAUUUCAAGUAGUAAUUCCGCCCAAAGAAAACCAGAUGGAGGAAAAAAUGUGUGUUGCUUUUAUCCGGGAAAACUGAGACUCAGAUGCACAUGCCAAGACCACCGUUAAUUUAUUGCGUGUUUAACGGCUCAGAAUGAAGAAUUGCUACACCGGAACCAGGGCCAUGCAGUGAUUGAUAUUUCGCUUGUGUCGCAGUUUCAUCUGAGGUAAGUUAUAAAUGAUGCAUUGCUUCACCGUAUUAUAUGCCGAUGCUCUCAUAAUUUAAUCUAUCCGGCGUAUAUACAACUUUCUUGGUGAUCGUAUUUUUCAUGUUGUGUGUUGAUGUGUAUCACAACCUAACAUGCAGACAUAGAUAAAUUGUAAUUACUGUUGUAUACCGUUGGUUUUGGUAAAAGCUCAUGCUUUAUAUGUUUUGGUGGGUUUUGGUAAAACCACUUCUCACCUUCAGAGAUAUAUGUUUGUUGCUUGCUCUACACAUGUCUGGUGCUCCAGUAAAUGCAUUCGUUUGAUCUGACCAUGGUGCAUGGCAUACAUGUACGGAGAAACUUUGUAUAGUGUUGUUAGCUGGUGGCAUCUACAAUUUAAGAUAAUCUAUGUGACUUAAGAUGAUGCAUGCAUGAAUUAAACCUGUCUAUUAGAAUAACUAACCUCGCAAUAUGAAACACUGCUAUAUGUACUCCUUCAACUUAACAAAAAUGAUGUGCCCACUUGUUUUGUCAAUUGCAAAGAGGUGCGUAUGAUAUGGAGAAUUCUGAACAUGGAAGAUGAAAGACAGAUGUUGGCUGAGUGUGCUGGUCCUAAAGUGUUCCUUCAAUGCUUCUUCACCUGGGAGGCCUCCAAACAAAUGCUAUGUAUUUGCUCUUAUGUGGACGUGGUGGCUAAUCUGAAACAAAGUCAAUGUUGGAGAGAAAAGAUGCCAUGUGAAUGACACACUGUACUGAAUCAGAAGAAAUGUUGUAGAUUAUGAGAUGUUAUGUCUGAAGAAACAAACAACGACUGUGACAGUGGCUCAAAGAUGGAAACCGCCUGAAGCUGAUGUGCUGAAAGUGAACAUUGAUGGUAGUUUCUUCUCGGAUUCAGCUGAGGGAGGCUCUGGUUUUAUAGUCAGAGACAACUCAUGCAAUGCGGUGGGCUCAGGAGCAGGAAAACUUCGUCAGCUUCAAGACCCUAUGCAUGCAGAGGCGGAGGCGUGCUUGCAUGCAAUUCAGGAGGCUCAAACUUGGGCAAUGAGGAGAAUUACUAGACAGACGCACAGGAACUGGUGAAAGCCACCACAUCAAAAGAUUAGGACCUGGCACCUAACGGUGUUCUCUUCCAGGAGAUCAAAGCUUACCUAGCUUUACAUUUUGUUAUGUUUAAAUAAAGUAAAGUACUGUCCUAGACUUUGUAAUAAGGUUGCUGAUGCCCUUGUGGCAUUCGGUGUGAAGAUUUGGUUGCUAGCGAUCUUGCUGUGCACUCUGGUUAAUGUAAUAAGGUUUUCCAUUAAUUCUUUUAACAAAACAAAA